GGAUGGCCAUAGCUCAGUUGGCUGAGCAUCUGCUUUGCAUGCAGGAAGUCCUGGGUUCAAUCCUCAGCAGGGUUCA